GGGGAUGUAGCUCAGUGUCAGAGCGCUUGCCUAGCAUGUAUGAAGCUCUGAGUUCAAUCCCCAGUACCACCA
rfam:Fukomys damarensis contig143345, whole genome shotgun sequence.